GUAUUAUUAGUAUAAUUGUUUAAUUAUGUCAUUUUUCCAAAAUGGUGAUCUACUAGAAGUAGAUAAUACA
rnacentral:tRNA from 1 species